rnacentral:rRNA from 1 species
GAGUUUGAUCCUGGCUCAGAGUGAACGCUGGCGGCGUGGAUUAGGCAUGCAAGUCGAGCGAUGUUGAGUUACGAGCAGUUGCCGAGCGCAAGCGAGGUGGCUGUGAGUAGUUCGGCAUAGCGGCAGACUGGUGAGUAACGCGUGAGUAAUUUACCUCUAAGCCGUGAAUAGCCUUGCGAAAGCAAGGGUAAAACACGAUGUGUUUACGAAGGCAUAAGUCUUUGUAUGUAAAAGUGGCUCGCAAGGGCUAUUGCUUAGAGAUGAGCUCGCGUCCUAUCAGCUAGUUGGUAGGGUAAUGGCCUACCAAGGCUUUUGACGGGUAGCUGGCCUGAGAGGGUGGUCAGCCACACGGGGACUGAGACACUGCCCCGACUCCUACGGGAGGCUGCAGUCGAGGAUCUUUAGCAAUGGGCGAAAGCCUGACUAUGCGACGCCGCGUGAGGGAUGAAGGUUUUCGGAUCGUAAACCUCUUUCGAUGGGGAAGAAUACCUCAGCAAUAACACUGCUGAGGGAUGACGGUACCUAGAGAAGAAGCCACGGCCAACUCCGUGCCAGCAGCCGCGGUAAUACGGGGGUGGCGAGCGUUACUCGGAUUCAUUGGGUGUAAAGGACAGGUAGGUGGCUAUGUAAGUUGGAGGUGAAAUCCUGCGGCUUAACCGCAGAACUGCCUUCAAAACUGUAUGGCUUGAGGCUAGAAGAGGAGAGUGGAAUUCCCGGUGUAAGGGUGAAAUCUGUAGAUAUCGGGAGGAACACCAGUGGCGAAAGCGGCUCUCUGGUCUAGUCCUGACACUGAUCUGUGAAAGCUAGGGGAGCAAACAGGAUUAGAUACCCUGGUAGUCCUAGCCGUAAACUAUGAGCACUAGGUGUUGGGGGUAACCCUUCAGCGCCGUAAGAUAACUCGUUAAGUGCUCCACCUGGGGACUACGACCGCAAGGUUAAAACUCAAAGGAAUUGACGGGGGCCCGCACAAGCGGUGGAACAUGUGGUUCAAUUCGACGCUACGCGAAGAACCUCACCAGGGCUUGACAUGCAGAG